UGCCAGCCGCCGCGGUAAUACAGAGGUCCCAAGCGUUGUUCGGAUUUACUGGGCGUAAAGAGUGCGUAGGCGGUUAAAAAAGUUUGGUGUGAAAUCUUCGGGCUUAACCCGGAAACUGCAUUGAAAACUAUUUGACUAGAGGAUCGGAGAGGAGAUUGGAAUUCUCAGUGUAGCAGUGAAAUGCGUAGAUAUUGAGAGGAACACCAGUUGCGAAGGCGGAUCUCUGGACGAUUCCUGACGCUGAGGCACGAAAGCUGGGGGAGCGAAGAGGAUUAGAUA
rnacentral:rRNA from 1 species